rnacentral:lncRNA from 1 species
UGGAAUCAUUGCGGCUUAAGGUGGCAUUCUUUGUGAAGCUAGUUCUCCCAGGUGCAAUAGAAAAAAGAAGGUUCCUUGAACAGUUUGGUUUGAGAAACACUGGUCUAUACUUUUCUCUUGAGCAUCACAAUUCAUUUUACCACGUUGGAGGCUCUCAAAUACUGCCAUAGUGUUUUCCAUAGUAGGCCCAGAACCCUUUGUUCCCAGUGGGACAUCUGUGAAUACCCAUGAAAUUCAGUAAACGGAUGUUCCCUGGAAUAGCCAUGGUGAAAUUGGGGUCAUAGUUAUUAUCGAAGAACUAAUUUACGAUAGUUUAAAGAUCUUAAUUGGCUUUGUGAUUCUAGAAUCUGGCAACAGUUCAUUCUGUAGAAGAGAAUGUUUUCCAAUAAAAUGAGCAGAAGAAGCUGGUUUUAUUUUCCUGGGUCUGUUUCUCACUAUGUGGCCCUGGCUGGUCUUGAACUCAUAGUGAUACUGGGACUACAGCCACACUGCACUGGGUUUAUAGGCAGACUAGGGCUGCCCAAAGUAGAAAGAAGGGAGAGUGGAUUGGUCUGGUUGCGGCAAAGUUACUUUCCUUAUAAGGCCAGUACAGGGAGAAAACAACAGAGAAAUAACUGAUGGGUUACCACUAGGUUUCUUCAGGUUACGUUUUUGUCAGGUUUAAAGCAGAGGGGAAUUCAUUGUCAUUGGGUUUAAAACUAGCUGGUUUGGGAAAUUUAGCUCAGGCGAUUUCUAUGAAAGUCAGAUAAUAACUUAGUUUCAGUUUGGUUAACCUUAAUAUGAAUGGCUCCAUUUUAUGCUGGUCUGUUGUGGCCUAGAGGCAGAAGCCUACUCAAAAACAAUGGCCUCUGGUAGUUUUUAUCCAACAGUGUCAUUACACUGUAGCUAGAUAGUGGUUCCCCAUCCCUUUCUUGUGAACUUGAGGCUUUAAUGAUGAGGUUUGUGCUUACCUCUCAAUCUUGUGGGUAGUUUCGUAAAUGUGGCAAUGUGGCC